rnacentral:lncRNA from 1 species
GGAGGAUGAAAACGAUGCCCAGCAGCUGAGGUGUCAAGAAAUUUACCAAGGAUGAAGUGAAAAGGGCAAGGAAGAGUUAAUUCAAGGCUGUUGCAAUGGAAGAAAGAAACUGAACACAACUUCGUUAAAACAAAGGAUUAGAGAACUGUGUACUGUUGGGUAAAGCUAACAGAAAAGCCCUGGAGUGUAUCAGUAGUGUGUGUGCUCAAAGCAGGGGCCUCCCAUGCUCGCUAAUUGCUGCUUAUUACCUUGGAACACCACUUUGCCCUGAGCCUGGGAAGCUGGCUCUGUCUUUCUUGACUGUUCAAUUCGAAAGAGAUGGUUUCCAGACUUUGCUGAAAGACUGUCCUGGUUACAAUAAGAGCAUUGACUGUUCUAGAGAAGAUCAUCUGACACACUUUGCCUGAGUACAUGGGAGCCCUUUCCUUCUUCUUUCCCCAAGGAGGCACACACUGGGAGCCUAUGAAAGGACUAGCAUUCUAAACCAAAAUCCAGAGCACACGAGAAGCUAGAGAAUUAUUCUACAAUGUGAGUGGCAUGCCAAAAACACCCCUGGGUAUG